GUCCCUGUAGUGCAAUGGAUAACCCGUUGGACUCAUAAUCCAAAGGUAGUAGGUUCGAAUCCCACCUGGGAUG